AUCUAGAAAAUUCUCAGAGACUUGUCACUUAUCCUGUCAAGUUCACAGCAAUGCCCAUCACAGAGUGUUUCUGGAAGUUAUCUGAUCCCUAGGUAAAAUCAUUGCGGAUGGAUGAGGAGGCCCAGAGCUCAACAGCUGAACGGCAUCACCAGGAAGUGGCAGCACCAUCACCAAGUGGAAUCACUCGCCUCAGGAAGCAGCAGCAGUCUCUAACACAGACAGGAAGUGGCAGCACUCCAGCAACAGGAAGUGGCAGCACUCCGGCAUCUGUACAGGAAGUGGUAACACUCCGGCAUCUCUACUGGAAGUGGCAGCACUCCGGCAUCUCUACAGGAAGUGGCAGCACUCCGGCAUCAGAACAGGAAGUGGCAGCACUCCUGCAUCUCUACAGGAAGUGGUAGCACUCCGGCAUCUGUACAGGAAGUGGUAGCACUCCAGCAUCAGAACAGGAAGUGGCAGCACCAUAUCAGGAAGUGGCAGUGUUAGACCUAGCUCAUUAAGCACCAAGAGGACAGAGAGAGACAACACUUAUGGAUCCCAAAUAAUUUGAAUAAUUUACCACAUAAGCAGGUUACUGAUUGAUGAGGGUUUGCAGGACUGUAAUGAUAUUAAUAGUCACAUAAAGUACUAAUUCUAGUAAAAGACUUCAUGUAUCUUCCUGUACAUGAUGGGUUCGAGUCUUACCAGGUAAAAUGGAGUCUGAAGUCAAGAUGGCAGUACUUAGGCCAAGGUGCUUCUGGCUGCUCCCUUCAUCAAUUAGACUGAUUUCUUUCGAAGAAGGAAAGAAGACUGAGUUGAUCUUAAAGGAAUCUCUUCAUUUGGAGUGAUGAUUUAGUUUUUGCAAAGUUUCUGAAGGCUCCACAUUGUUCUCUGUAAGGGACUUGACAGAACAGACUACACCCAGGCACCUUCAGGAUUGUGACACUGGCCCAUACACGCCAGGAAAUUUGAACUGACAGAAGCCCCUGCCUUCUGCUGUUUCAAGAGUGGCUUAGUGGAGCAAGACACCAGCCCAGAGCCCUUGGCUGAGCUAGAGGUCUGCAACCCCUUCCCCAGAGAUGGGAGCGCCUGGGGGCUGAGCGCCUUGGCAGCCAUGACAUUAAGCACUCAGAAUCCCUACUGAUGGUGCAGCCUCCUCCAACCGCAGUGAUUGGCUCAUAUAUGGCCACACGUGUUCUACACUGGGCCAAUCAUCUGGAUACAGGUACCUCCUUCUCGCCUGUGCAGUAAGGGACUCCUGGAACCACCACAGCUGUUUUGUGAUUAUGAGAGAAGUUAAUCUGAGGAUGAAGUACAAUGCCAACAUGGACACGAAAGAAGAGAUUUGCAGGAAAAGAACACAGACCGAUCACGCUUAACCUCAUUAGUGAUGUCAGCCCCAGUCUGGUAUUGUGUCAAUCCCUCUGAAUUCGGUUGUCUGUACCUGGUAACACAAAGAGUUAUUGACCAAUAUAACUUCUCUCUUACUGGUAGAUUAAUGUCGUUUCCCUAUACAUAACUCAUAACUCAAAACACAAAGAUGAAAAUGAAAACAGCUACAAUUUUGACAAACAGGAUAAUAGCCAUGAGCACUUUGGUGUUCCUUUUUCUUGGGCAGGAUGUAGAAAUUAAGAUUUACUGUACUGAAUAUUUUUAUUGUGUGAAAUUUCAUGUGUCCCAAUGGGAUCAUUAAAAAUGAUUUCCAAAA